GCCAACCCGCAACUGCCUAGAGAGGCGCUCUGUGGCUUCUCCGCCCUCUGCCCACCUAAUUCUGUCCACACCCCUGGGCGCCCCGCCCCCUCGGCCUUAUAGACGGUGGGGACGCCUGGGCACGCCCGGCAGCCAGAGGUUUACAGGAGCCGAUCGGGCGCUCCUCCCCAGGGUCGCCUGGAGCCCCGGCAGCGGGGCUGCAGCUAACCAAGGAGCGGAGCCAGGCGGCGGCCGCGCCCGCACCAUGGAGCUCAGCCCGAUCCCAGCCCUGGUCUCCGCCAACCUCUGCCAUCAUCCGUGCCCUGUCUACCAGCUCUCCCUGCUACUCGCUCCGUGCGGUUCCCUCCUCACCUUGAAGCCAACAUGAAGGAGCCCCGGGGCGACGGUGGAAGCGCCCCUUUCUGCACUGGCUUCAACCAUUCCUACCCCGGCAUGUGGGCGCCCGAGAGCUCCACCGAGGCUCGGGGCAACCUCACCCGCACCCCGGGGUCCGGCGAGGACUGUGGCUCCGUGUCCGUGGCCUUUCCGAUCACUAUGAUGAUCACGGGCUUCGUGGGCAACGCGCUGGCCAUGCUGUUGGUAUCCCGGAGCUACCGGCGGCGGGAAAGCAAGCGCAAGAAGUCCUUCCUGCUGUGCAUCGGCUGGUUGGCGCUCACUGAUCUGGUGGGGCAGCUGCUCACCAGCCCCGUGGUCAUCGUCGUGUACCUUUCCAAACAACGAUGGGAAUACCUCGACCCAUCGGGGCGGCUGUGCACCUUUUUCGGUUUGACUAUGACUGUGUUCGGGCUUUCCUCGCUCUUCAUCGCCAGCGCUAUGGCCGUCGAGCGGGCUCUGGCCAUUCGGGCGCCGCACUGGUACGCUAGCCACAUGAAGACGCGCGCCACCCGCGCCGUACUGCUGGGCGUGUGGCUGGCCGUGCUGGCCUUCGCCCUGCUUCCUGUGAUAGGCGUGGGUCAGUACACCGUCCAGUGGCCCGGGACUUGGUGUUUCAUCAGCACUGGGCAAGGGAGCAAUGAAACCAGCUCUUCUCAUGACUGGGGCAACCUUGUCUUCGCCUCCACCUUUGCCUUCCUUGGGCUCUUGGCGCUGACGGUCACUUUCGCCUGCAACCUGGCCACCAUUAAGGCUCUGGUGUCCCGCUGCAGGGCCAAAGCUGCAGUCUCGCAGUCCAGUGCCCAGUGGGGCCGGAUCACAACCGAGACGGCCAUCCAGCUCAUGGGGAUCAUGUGCGUGCUGUCCGUCUGCUGGUCGCCGCUUUUGAUAAUGAUGUUGAAAAUGAUCUUCAACCAGAUGUCAGUUGAACACUGCAAGACACAGGCAGGAAAGCAGAAAGAAUGCAACUUCUUCUUAAUAGCUGUUCGCCUGGCUUCAUUGAACCAGAUCUUGGAUCCCUGGGUUUAUCUGCUGCUAAGAAAGAUCCUUCUACGAAAGUUCUGCCAGCAGAGAUUGUGAGCCAGAGACUUUCCUCUACAAGAGUCUUUAUGUGAGAUCAGGUACCCCACAAACAACUAUGCUUCCAGUUCCACUUCCUUACCCCACCAAUGUUCUUCAACCUUGAUGUGGAGUGACCAUUUGGAAAGAUAAUGAAAGAACAAAGGUGGAUUUUUAAAUUGCAAUUCCUGCUUCCUGAGUUUGUAUGUCGCUUCCCAUUUAAGGAGAAUUUUGUGCUUUUAUUUGGAUUGUAUCCUUAUUUUUGUCUCAUACUUUAUUUCAAUGCUUUUUCCUUGUCAGUAAUACAUACAGAAGUUAAUUUUAUUAUUAUAAUCCAUAUCCAUGAGUGUUUACUUGGUUCCUUUAA